rnacentral:rRNA from 1 species
CGAGGCGAACCGGGGAAACUGAAACAUCUCAGUACCCCGAGAAAAAGAAAUCAACCGAGAUUCCCCCAGUAGCGGCGAGCAAACGGGGAGCAACCCAGAGUCAACAUCAAUAUUUACCACAGGAGAAGGGUCUGGAAAAGCCGGCAAUAAAGGGUGAUAGCCCCGUAUCUAAAGCGGUAAGUGUUGUGAACUCGAAGAGUAGGGCGGGACACGUGUUAUCCUGUCUGAAUAUGGGGGGACCAUCCUCCAAGGCUAAAUACUCCUGACUGACCGAUAGUGAACCAGUACCGUGAGGGAAAGGCGAAAAGAACCCCGGCGAGGGGAGUGAAAUAGAACCUAAAACCGUGUACGUACAAGCAGUAGGAGCACCCGAAAGGGCGUGACUGCGUACCUUUUGUAUAAUGAGUCAGCGACUUAUAUUCUGUAGCAAGGUUAACCGCAUAGGGGAGCCGUAGGGAAACCGAGUCUUAACUGGGCGUUAAGUUGCAGGGUAUAGACCCGAAACCCGGUGAUCUAGCCAUAAGCAGGUUGAAG